GAUAAAGCUAAUCUUUUCAUUUUUUCGAUUGGUACUAAAAUACAAAGUAUUUCGUUACGAUACUGCAAUCAAGAUACUUAUGAAGUCUAUGAAGCGGAACUUAUCGAGCAGAAAAGCAACGACACUUUGCAAUGGCGCCGAUAUUAACAGAAUGUCCGUGUACGAGAUAUCUAAAAUAAAAGGCACUGCAUUGCAUCCAAACUUGACUAAACUGGGGUUAAAAUCUUAUUUUUGUCAUCAAUGAUCAAGAAAAUGUACAAAAUUUGCCGAAUACGUUCAAGAUUCGGCACACAAGACGGCAAAAUAUGUCUGAAAGUGGGUUAAAGAGUUAGAACUGGAUUGACCUGCCUGGCUUCCCGUCAUCUGGUUUCACUCUCCCCCUGACUUUUCGUUCAUGCUGGUUGCAGUUAUCAUGAUCAAUCCAACAUGGCGGCGUCGUCACGGCAAAAGAGAAAUGAGAUUUUUUGCAGUUUUUGCCCAUGUAUUAUCAGGGAGUAAGCUCAGUUCAUUUAGGAGGAGGGUUCAGUUAGACUACAACGAGAUGGCGACGAAGAUUAUUCUGAAGUAGCAUCCCAACAUUCAAAAGAUAAUCACUAAAUGCAACAACUUCUUGCUGUCUUUACGAACCUUUUGCUGUUUUUGAAUCGACAGGUUUGCAGAGCAUAUUGUGUAUUGGUUUCGCCAGUAGUUUGAUGGCUUUUUGGUUGAUGAAAACAUACUUUAAUAUCAGUGGAAGUGAUCAGAGAAGUGAUGGCUUUAUAUUUAUCAAACGCCAUGACGUCGCGACAUUCAUAAGUAUCCUGAAUAUUUUUGAAGAAUUUACUCCUGAAAUUAUUACCCAUACAUUGUGAAGAAAACAUGGCGGCGUCAACGAGGCCACAAGUCGAAGCCAUAUUUUUAUCUUUUUCUUUUUACAGCAUUUUCCAUGUGCUCGUCGUUUUUACAUAUUUUUCUCUCCUGUAAGCAACGUUUCACAUUAUCACCUGAAACGCUCCGUAAAGAUUUACGGACCACCAACCAUUGACCAAUACUCACCAUCGAACAUAGAAACCGUCAGCUAGUCUUGAAAGGUGGUCUUUGUGUCUGCAACCUUAUGACGUCAUUAUACGCUAUCGCCAGGGACCUGAAAAGUCAGCAGAUUUUCUGUCGAAAUAGCCGAAGAAUUUCGAUCUUGAAAAUUAUAUGAAAUUUCAAACAUGAAAAAUAAACACUUCAAAAUAUCAAGCUUUUAAAAAAGUAAAAGACAAGUUCUGUAUUUUACCUAAAGUAAACGGAAUCGUAAAAUCACAUGGGGAUAGUUAAAACGAAAGCCCUUUUACGUGAGAAAGGUUGGUUCCUACUAAUCAGCCAAAUAUUGGUAUCGAUAUUUCGAAGCAUCAGCCUGGUUUGGUCUUCUUCAGUUUGAGGUAAUGACUUAAAGUUCGUUGGCCAUUCUAUGGCCCUUGCUGUAGUUGGUCCAAGAUUGUUAUCGUCAAAUGACUCAGAUCAUGACAUGCUCGUUUUCCAUCCUUUUUCUCCAGGAAUUAUGCCUUUAAGAUAAAUUAAACUGUAUAAAUUGUUCUAGCAAUUGUGGUAUGUGUCCUACCUUUGGUUAUCUAUCUUAACACAGUUGAUGUACUGAAAUUCCGAAGGAUUAAUUGAUUCAAGAUUUUAUAUAUUUUCCAAACGCACAGCAUAGGUUUCACCUGGACUAAUCAACGAAAGCACUGACUAACUAUGCGCAUCUCAUUCACUGUACCGUUCACUGUUUCGUACUGACGUUGACUGAUGACAAGAUAGAAUCUUGUCUUGCCAAAAUAACGACGCCAAAAAGUGGAAGAGACCCAUUACAGAUGUCUGAAUUACCGCAAGCACUGUGGACUAAGCUUAUAGACUAUGGCUUCGUGCAUAUACUGGUAGUAAUGAGUAUCUAUUGGUCUUCAUCGAUGACUAUUCUAGAUUCUUAAUCGUGGAAAUAUAACGAUCGACGUUUUCGAACGCCUUUAUACCCUGCCUAGAUAAAAUAUUUUCCAAACAUGGAAUACUAAAAAUAAUGACAACGGUUCUUCAUUUAAUAGUCAGGAAUUCAACGAUUUUGCAAAACAUUUGGGUUUCGUAAAUAGAAAAGUCACCCUUUACAGGCCCCUUGCAAAUGGUGAAUGGGCUUUUCUGCGUACUUUGAAGAAAGUUAUAAAGACAGUUGGGAUGGAAAAUAAAGUUUAGAAGCAAGAAAUAUUCAAGUUCUUACGUAACUAUCAAGCCACACCUCAAGCAUUGGUCUAACUAUUUAUCAAACGCACUUCUCUAAUAAGUAUCCUUAAUCUUUUUGAAGAAUUUACUCCUGAAAUUAUCACCCAUACAUUCUGAAGAAAACAUGGCUGUUGCAUCGAUGCCACAAUUUAAAGCCAUAUUUUUUAUCUAUUUUAACAACAUUUUCAUUGUGCUCGUCGUUUGUAAUAAAGUAAAUGGUUUGAACCCGGAAGUAUCGUUACUUGUUUGUAAAUGUAGAUCGUCCAGGUUGGUAUAGUCCUGAGAAGGACUGUUUUUGUUGUUGUUGACUGACGUUUCGACAACCUUAACGGUAGUCAUCUUCGGAGUCAAAAAAAAAUGAUUUACGUAAAAAUUCUUACGGAACUAUCGAACCACACGCAUCGACCAAAACCCCACCACUCACCCACUGUCCAACUGUCCAAUGAAAAUCCGUCCGCCCCAAAUAAAGAUAGAGUCAAACUGAAGGAAGACGUCAUGAGGAAAAAUGAUGAGAAGCCCAAACAUGCUAAUUUGAAAUCUAACGUUAAACCUUUACAAUUUUAAAAAAGGGGAUGCAGUCCUUUUGAAAACAAUGUCAAAAGCAAAACAGUUCCACCGUAUGAACCAUAUAUAUUCAGAAUUGUGCAAAAAAAAAGAUCAACGAUUAUUGCAGAACAAGACUCUAAAUCCGUCACAGUGACCGCGAAAUUCAUCCUCUUUUAAGCAAGUCGUGGAACAAGAAAACGAUGAAAUGGAAUGUCCAGAGUUUGGCGAAUCUGAAAAAUUCCAAGCAAAUCCUAAUGUCUCUGGAGGUGGUGUCCCACAGGAUCCUGGUGCUGCAAUCCUGACAAAAAACCCUUCGGUGAGAACAUCAACGCCUAUGUAUCUAAGAAGAGUAAGAAAAUAACCAGAUUAAUGUCAAAGUGAAACUUACAGAUGACACAAAAAAAUUAUAGCUAAUGGUAGUUAUUAAUAAGAAACAUUUAGAAAUCAAACUUAGUAGGGAAUAGGAAGAGAUUUAAUUUGCAUGCUACGUCAAAUAGAAACUAUUGGGAUAACUAUUUUGACAUUGAAACGUGUACUAUAUUAUUAUUAUUGUUAUUAUUAUUUAACUAAAAUUUUAACUCCAAGUGAGGGAGAGAUGUAAUAUUUUGAAUAAUUUAAACAUGUUGUUUGGGAUAUUUCGUAAAGGGAGGAUUCAGUUCGACUGUAACGUGUGUGAACAUCACAAGGACCACUUCGCUGUUAAUCAGAUUAAUGGUGUCAGUGACUAGCCUCAAGGUAGUUAUGUUUCGAUGGAAGUCUUUAUGACAAACAUUUGAACAUGCCAAUAGUGAGUGAAAAAAGGGGUAUGAUAUGUAAAAUUAGAGGAGAAUGAAACACUUGUAACAUGGCGAUUGUCUUUGAAUGUGAUAGGAAAAAUAUAAUCAAACUCUACAA